AUUAGUUUUUUAAUUGAAGGCUAGAAUGAAUGACUGGACAAGAAAUAAUCUGUCUUAAAUUAAGAUAUUGGAUUUAACUUUUAAGUGAAAAGGCUUAAAUAAUCUGAAGGGACGACAAGACCCUAUAAAACUUUAUAUUGCAAAGUGAUUAGUAAGUUUUAUUUAAAGGUUAUUAUUUUGAAAUAUUUGGUUGGGGUGACAAGGAUUGAAGAAAAAGUAACUGUAUUUUUUUUUACAAUAAUGUUUGGUUUAGUGAUACUAAAAUGGAUUAAAGAUUAAGUUACUUUAGGGAUAACAGCGUAGUUUUCUUCAAGAGUUCUUAUCGACAAGAGAGUUUGCGACCUCGAUGUUGAAUUAAAAGUUCUUUAUAGAGUAGAGACUAUAAUAGAAGGUCUGUUCGACCUUCAAAAUUUUACAUGAUUUGAGUUCAGACCGGUAUGAG
rnacentral:rRNA from 1 species